rnacentral:misc_RNA from 1 species
GUGAAGAACGUAGCGAAAUGCGAUAAGUAGUGUGAAUUGCAGAAUUCAGUGAAUCAUCGAAUCUUUGAACGCACAUUGCGCCCCUUGGUAUUCCAUGGGGCAUGCCUGUUCGAGCGUCAUUUGUACCUUCAAGCUCUGCUUGGUGUUGGGUGUUUGUCUCGCCUCUGCGUGUAGACUCGCCUCAAAAUAAUUGGCAGCCGGCGUAUUGAUUUCGGAGCGCAGUACAUCUCGCGCUUUGCACUCAUAACGACGACGUCCAAAAGUACAUUUUUACACUCUUGACCUCGGAUCAGGUAGGGAUACCCGCUGAACUUAAGCAUAUCAAUAAGCGGAGGA